rnacentral:pre_miRNA from 1 species
UUGCACAGGUCCACAUGUAUGGCUGACAUGCACAGGUCCACAUGUGGGCCUGUGCAUGUCAGCCAUACAUGUGGGCCUGUGCAU